rnacentral:tRNA from 1 species
GGGGGUAUAGCUCAGCGGCAUAAGCGCCUGCCUUGAAAGCAGGCAGUUGUGAGUUCGAUCCCCGGUACCGAUA